GGGGGGAGCGCGCCGCGCACCCGGAAGCGCCCAGAGCGCCGCGCGCCGCCCGCCCGGAAGCGCUUCCGGGAAUGCUAAUGAAUGAUGGUGGUACGAGCAGUUCAUGAACACAUGGAAGCCGGAGCGAAAAGACUGAAGAAAACUGCAAAGUAGAGGAGAAUCAGGAAUUUAGAUGCUGUGGAUCCUGAACAUGAAGAACCAAAGAAAUAGUGACUCCACAUCCGAGAAGAGUAAAAAUUGAUUUAUGAAGAGGAAGAAUAAUCUUUGUUAUGUUACUUAAAAUCUGGUUACAGUGUUUUUUUACUAAUUGUUAUUUAUCUUCAAUAACAAGUUAUCAUAAUGAAAAUAAAGUUUUUAUGGAGGAUUUAUUAAGAUUGCAUCCUACCUAGGAACUCAUGAGGAUAUCCUUUUUUCUCCCAGUAAUUAUCGAACAAGCUCCCAAGUCAAGAGUUUUAUAUCUUAGACUUUUCAAGGUAGAAUAACAGUCAGUCUUCCAUAUCCAUCCAAAACCUCUCUGGCAAUUAAUUUUUCAGACCUCCUCUGCAUAUCAUACAAAUGCAAUAUUGUCAGACGGGCAUCACCUUCCAGCACUUCCUCUGUACCUAACACAUCCACACAAAAACAGCCUUCCAAAUUGCUGGUGGUUGGGUCAACAGUCAUUUUUCCCUGUUAAAAUUCUCCAAUUUGUUUCCAAGC